rnacentral:lncRNA from 1 species
GCUGUGCGGGUUUAUCUUGGCACCUCGUGGUGAAAUAUUUAUACAAGGCCAAGGGAAGUUAGCAUCUGUUUAUUUGUUAAAAACAAACUAUACCUUUACUUACAGGUUACAAUAUGCUGAUGUCUUUAAUAACAUAUUCCCGGUUUCUAUAUUUCUUAUCGAAUUUAAUCUUAUAAUGUCAUAUAUUUCUUUUUGAAAAAUUUUAAAGAUUUCU